AUUAAACGCUGGCGGCAUGCCUUACACAUGCAAGUCGAACGGCAGCACGGGGGCAACCCUGGUGGCGAGUGGCGGACGGGUGAGUAAAGCAUCGGAACGUAUCCUGGAGUGGGGGGAUAAUGUAGCGAAAGUUACGCUAAUACCGCAUAUUCUGUGAGCAGGAAAGCAGGGGAUCGCAAGACCUUGCGCUCUGGGAGCGGCCGAUGUCGGAUUAGCUAGUUGUGGGGUAAAGGCCUACCAAGGCGACGAUCCGUAGCGGGUCUGAGAGGAUGAUCCGCCACACUGGGACUGAGACACGGCCCAGACUCCUACGGGAGGCAGCAGUGGGGAAUUUUGGACAAUGGGCGGAAGCCUGAUCCAGCCAUGCCGCGUGAGUGAAGAAGGCCUCGG
rnacentral:rRNA from 1 species